CACUCGAUGGUUUUUAGAUAUUUUGGCAUUUGGUGUGCUGGUGCUAUAGUCUUUUCAAAUCAAGGCGAUCCGAAAAGAUUUUUUCAAAAUUUUCACUGAAGCAUGGCUCUAGGUACAGUGAAAUAAUGAUUUUGCCAGCUGUCAGCCAUUUUUAGUAGCCUGCCAUGGUGAGUGGGACACGCGGGGAGUGUAGGUCGGCC
rnacentral:lncRNA from 1 species